CAGUCGCCACGGUAAUACGUAGGGUGCGAGCGUUAAUCGGAAUUACUGGGCGUAAAGCGUGCGCAGGCGGUUCGUUAAGACAGAUGUGAAAUCCCCGGGCUUAACCUGGGAACUGCAUUUGUGACUGGCGAGCUAGAGUAUGGCAGAGGGGGGUAGAAUUCACGUGUAGCAGUGAAAUGCGUAGAGAUGUGGAGGAAUACCGAUGGCGAAGGCAGCCCCCUGGGCCAAUACUGACGCUCAUGCACGAAAGCGUGGGGAGCAAACAGGAUUAGAUACCCCCGUAGUCCCUGUCUCUUAUACC
rnacentral:rRNA from 1 species